rnacentral:rRNA from 1 species
AGAGUUUGAUCAUGGCUCAGAGUGAACGCUGGCGGCAGGCCUAACACAUGCAAGUCGAGCGGCAGCGCGUCCGACCACCCUCGGGUGGUCGGAUGGCGGCGAGCGGCGGACGGGUGAGGAAUGCAUCGGAAUCUGCCUCGUUGUGGGGGAUAACGUAGGGAAACUUACGCUAAUACCGCAUACGACCUACGGGUGAAAGUGGGGGACCUUCGGGCCUCACGCGAUGAGAUGAGCCGAUGCCCUAUCAGCUUGUUGGUGGGGUAAUGGCCUACCAAGGCGAUGACGGGUAGCCGGUUUGAGAGGACGACCAGCCGCACUGGGACUGAGACACUGCCCAGACUCCUACGGGAGGCUGCAGUCGAGAAUCUUCCGCAAUGGGCGAAAGCCUGACGGAGCGACACCGCGUGCAGGACGACGGCCCUCGGGUUGUAAACUGCUGUCACGCACUAGGAAUGUCAUGUCGUUAAUAGCGGCAUGAUUGACUAACGCGAGAGGAAGUGGCGGCUAACUCUGUGCCAGCAGCCGCGGUAAGACAGAGGCCACAAACGUUGUUCGGAAUUACUGGGCAUAAAGCGCACGUAGGCGGCUAGGUCAGUCCGUUGUGAAAGCCCUCGGCUCAACCGGGGAACAGCAAUGGAUACUGCCUGGCUAGAGGACGGUUGGGGUGAGUGGAACUCCUGGUGGAGCGGUGAAAUGCGUAGAUAUCAGGAGGAACACCGGUGGCGAAAGCGGCUCACUGGACCGUAUCUGACGCUGAGGUGCGAAAGCUUGGGUAGCGAACGGGAUUAGAUACCCCGGUAGUCCUAGCCGUAAACGAUGGGCACUAGGUAGGGGGAAUGCCUAUGGUUUUCCCUGCCGGAGCAAAUGUGUUAAGUGCCCCGCCUGGGGAGUACGCUCGCAAGGGUAAAACUCAAAGGAAUUGACGGGGGCUCACACAAGCGGUGGAGCAUGUGGUUUAAUUCGAAGCAACGCGAAGAACCUUACCUGGCCUUGACAUGUAAUUGUUACUGAUGGAAACAUUGGGUCUUAUGGGAAACCAUAAGCUGUUACACAGGUGCUGCAUGGCUGUCGUCAGCUCGUGUCGUGAGAUGUUGGGUUAAGUCCUUUAACGAGCGCAACCCUUGCCGUUAGUUGCUAUCGCGAAAGCGAGCACUCUAGCGGGACUGCCUGGGAAACCAGGAGGAAGGUGGGGAUGACGUCAAGUCCGCAUGGCCCUUAUGUCCAGGGCUACACACGUGUUACAAUGGUGAGUACAAACGGAAGCAAGACCGCGAGGUGGAGCAAACCUGAUAAAACUCAUCUAAGUUCGGAUCGAAGUCUGCGACCCGGCUUCGUGAAGUUGAAAUCGCUAGUAAUCGCGCAUCAGAACGGCGCGGUGAAUACGUUCUCGGACCUUGCACACACCGCCCGU